UGACCAUGAUCAGCCACCACUGGAGAGGAAC
rnacentral:piRNA from 1 species